UUAUAUAGUUUAAAUAUAAAACAUUACAUUUUCAUUGUAAAAAUAAAAAAAUUAUUUUUAUAAAUA
rnacentral:tRNA from 1 species